ACUNGGAGGUUGUGGCNUUGAGCCGUGGCUUUUCGGAGCUAACGCGUUUAAGUAGACCGCCUGGGGAGUACGGUCGCAAGAUUAAAACUCAAAUGNAUUGACGGGGGCCCCGCACAAGCGGUGGAGCAUGUGGUUUAAUUNGAUGCAACGCGAAGAACCUUACCUACUCUUGACAUCCAGAGAAGCUUGAAGAGAUUCGAGUGUGCCUUCGGGAACUCUGAGACAGGUGCUGCAUGGCUGUCGUCAGCUCGUGUUGUGAAAUGUUGGGUUAAGUCCCGCAACGAGCGCAACCCUUAUCCUUGUUUGCCAGCACUUCGGGUGGGAACUCCAGGGAGACUGCCGGUGAUAAACCGGAGGAAGGUGGGGACGACGUCAAGUCAUCAUGGCCCUUACGAGUAGGGCUACACACGUGCUACAAUGGCAUAUACAGAGGGCAGCAAGACCGCGAGGUGGAGCGAAUCCCAGAAAGUAUGUCGUAGUCCGGAUCGGAGUCUGCAACUCGACUCCGUGAAGUCGGAAUCGCUAGUAAUCGUGGAUCAGAAUGCCACGGUGAAUACGUUCCCGGGCCUUGUACACACCGCCCGUCACACCAUGGGAGUGGGCUGCACCAGAAGUAGAUAGCUUAACCUUCGGGAGGGCGUUUACCACGGUGUGGUUCAUGACUGGGGUGAAGUCGUAACAAGGUAACCG
rnacentral:rRNA from 1 species